AACUUAAGCAAAAAAGGGUAUUUAUUGGUUCACAUAACUGAAAAGUCCAGGGGAUAUUCUAGCUUCAGGCACGGUUGGAUCCAGGGGCACAAACGCUGUCAUCAGGAUUCAAGUCUCUCCAUAUUUUGGCUAGUCAACCAGAUUUUAUUUGUUGAGGGCGAGCAGUCUACAGCAACCAGACCUAGGCCUUGUUUGACGAGAUGUAGAGUCGAGUCAUGUAAUCACAAUUGGCCUAGAGAGAGACAAGGAUAUAAACAAACUAUUUCCAAUGUUUAACCAGUGCAUUCAUUCGAGUAGCUCAGGAUAGCUGGCCUUUAAAUUGACUGGGAAGUAAAGAAUGAGUUUUCUCAUGACACACAUCAAAGUCUCCUUGUUCAACAUGAUCUGGUCUGAGAGUUCAUAAACUGAAUCCUUCCUGCUGAAACAGAUAAGUUGUCUUUAUGUCUGUUACAAUGCCUGCCUUAAAUAUAUAUCAUGGCAAGGAAUGAAGUCAGCUGCUCUGAGUCAGUGUAAAAUGACAGUAUUGAGACUGAUGUGGUUCCACUA
rnacentral:lncRNA from 10 species